ACUUAAAUAGCUUAUAAAUUAGAGCAUGAUAUUGAAGAUAUCAAGGAAAUAUUAUUAUUUUUAAGU
rnacentral:tRNA from 1 species